GCCUUCGACCCACCACCCCCUUGGACUUCUGUUCAAAGAUGAGAACAAGUCUACAGAGUUGGCUGAUGUUCUACAGCAUCUCCAGAAUGAGUAUGUUCCAAAGGGCCCAGAUGGG